rnacentral:rRNA from 1 species
UACGUAGGGUGCGAGCGUUAAUCGGAAUUACUGGGCGUAAAGGGCGCGUAGGCGGCCUGCUAAGUCGAACGUGAAAUCCCCGGGCUCAACCCGGGAACUGCGUCCGAUACUGGCAGGCUUGAAUCCGGGAGAGGGAUGUGGAAUUCCGGGUGUAGUGGUGGAAUGCGUAGAGAUCCGGAGGAACACCAGCGGCGAAGGCGGCGUCCUGGACUGGUACUGACGCUCAGGAGCGAAAGCGUGGGGAGCGAUCCGG